ACCCUCUUAGGGUUACACCUGGAGGGUUUCCAGGACUCUACCAGUCUUGACCUAUGAGAGGGAGAUCAUGCAGAGGCCUACCCAUUCCAUUCCUAGUUUGGCCAGGGGUUAGCGAGUGGAAGGCAAUCUGCUACAAGU
rfam:Ornithorhynchus anatinus chromosome 2, whole genome shotgun sequence.